ensembl:lncRNA
AAACUUGAGGGAAGAAUGCUUACUGGAUGUCUGAGUUGGAUUUUGGUCUUUGGUUCAGGGAAGAGUUGCUGUGCUUAUCUUGUUCUGGAUGGGAUCGUCAGCUGCAGAUGUGAAGGUGUAUGACCUAUCUUGCAUCUUAUGACCUAUCAGGGUUUACCCAUAUUCCUCUGGGAUAGGAACACACCAUUGAUAGGUGUGUUUUAAAAAUCAGGGCAUUUAAUUUUGUGCUACCAGUGGACUCCACUGUACUUGAUCAAGAAAAAAAAAAUGCAGCCCUUGAGAAGAAUGAAUAUUAUCCUGAGAGAGUCAGAUGAGUCACCCUCUGAGACGUUAAGUGCUACCCUACUGUGAAGAGAUUUGAUUGACUGAACAAGACAGUUGAAAUGCUAUUUUAAUGAACUGCGAUGAAAAUUGUGUUGAAAAUGAAGGGUAUAAAAGAGAUGAUCCACUCAGUUUUAGUUUUCCACUUGUUGGAGGUUCUUCUGGAGUACUUAAUCCCAUAAUUUGUCAGAACAAUUAAAACAAAGAAGCAAACAAGAGGAAAAAAAAAAAAAAGCAAGAGAGCGAGAGGUCAGUUUAUUUCGCAGUUGUUGCUGAUAUCCAUCAGUACCAGGUCCAAGUAUGUGAGCACUGCAGUUUCCUCUGCCUCUUGCAAUUAGUUCCAUUAUCAUUCAUGCAAUUGAGACUGAUCAUUUUCCUAUAACUUCACUGGUCCUAUCUUGUGCCUCAUGUCUUUGCUGUGACUUUUUUUCUAAAUAAGACCUAAAUUAGGCCAUGAAUUGAAUAUAAUUGUUUGAAUUGUUUGCCUUCAGAAUUGUAGAACUUACAUGAUUUCCCUCUCAGUUAUUACUCAAAUUGUAUCCUGUUAUUUAAAUGGUUACUGGAAACAAUAUGUUGUCAAUAUACAAGGAGAACAUAAAGAAUAUGUAAAAAAAAAAAUAAUCAGAUAUUUAUAUAUUUGCUUAUUUUUAAGUAUGGUAGUUUUAUUUACUAUGACGGUGAAAUUUUGUUCACACUAAUGGUGACUCAGUGUUUUGCUGAGUCUCAGUGAUUAAUAAAAUACAAUAACAC